GGUGUGUAGCUCAGUGGUAGAGUUCAUGCUUAGGAUGCAUGAGACACUGUGUUCAAUUCCUACCAUGACCC
rnacentral:tRNA from 1 species